rnacentral:rRNA from 1 species
UACGGGGGGAGCGAGCGUUGUUCGGAGUUACUGGGCGUAAAGAGUGCGUAGGCGGUUUUCUAAGUUUGGUGUGAAAUCUCCCGGCUUAACUGGGAGGGUGCGCCGAAAACUGGAAGGCUUGAGUAUGGGAGAGGUAAGCGGAAUUCCUGGUGUAGCGGUGAAAUGCGUAGAUAUCAGGAGGAACACCUGCGGUGUAGACGGCUUACUAGGCUUCAACUGACGCUGAGGCACGAAAGUGUGGGGAUCAAACAGG